CUGGAUGACAGAGCUAGACUUCAUCUCAAAAAAAAAAAGGAUCCUCAGGGCUGCCAACUUUAUAGUAGAAGUCGAGGUGGUAGUGGAUUUCUCCUACACAA
rnacentral:snoRNA from 1 species